rnacentral:rRNA from 1 species
AAUACAUAAGGGGCGAGCGUUAUCCGGAAUUAUUGGGCGUAAAGGGUGCGUAGGCGGUUUAAUAAGUCUAUAGUUUAAUUUCAGUGCUUAACGCUGUUGUGCUAUAGAAACUGUUUUACUAGAGUGAGUUAGAGGCAAGCGGAAUUCCAUGUGUAGCGGUAAAAUGCGUAAAUAUAUGGAGGAACACCAGAGGCGUAGGCGGCUUGCUGGGACUUUACUGACGCUGAGGCACGAAAGCGUGGGGAGCAAACAGGAUUAGAUACCCUGGUAGUCCACACCGUAAACGAUGAGUACUAAGUGUCGGGUAAAACCGGUACUGAAGUUAACACAUUAAGUACUCCGCCUGAGUAGUACGUACGCAAGUAUGAAACUUAAAGGAAUUGACGGGACUCCGCACAAGCGGUGGAUCAUGUUGUUUAAUUCGAAGAUACACGAAAAACCUUACCAGGUCUUGACAUUUUCUUGCGAAGUUAUAGAAAUAUAAUGGAGGUUAUCAGGAAAACAGGUAGUGCAUGGUUGUCGUCAGCUCGUGUCGUGAGAUGUUAGGUUAAGUCCUAAAACGAGCGCAACCCUUGUCGUUAAUUGCCAGCAUGUAAUGAUGGGGACUUUAACGAGACUGCCAAUGAAAAAUUGGAGGAAGGUGGGGAUUACGUCAAAUCAUCAUGCCCCUUAUGAUCUGGGCUACAAACGUGAUACAAUGGUUGAUACAAAGA